UCGAACGCGAAAGUCCCGCAAGGGAUUAGUAGAGUGGCAAACGGGUGAGUAACGCGUGGGUGACCUGCCUUCGAGCGGGGGAUAACGUCCCGAAAGGGACGCUAAUACCGCAUGACAUCCUGCCUUUGAAGAGGUGGAGAUCAAAGCCGGGGAUUCGCAAGAACCUGGCACUUGAAGAGGGGCCCGCGUCUGAUUAGCUAGUUGGUGGGGUAAUGGCUCACCGAGGCAUCGAUCAGUAUCCGGCCUGAGAGGGCGGACGGACACACUGGGACUGAGACACGGCCCAGACUCCUACGGGAGGCAGCAGUGGGGAAUUGUUCGCAAUGGGCGCAGGCCUGACGACGCAACGCCGCGUGGAGGAUGAAGACCUUCGGGUCGUAAACUCCUUUCGAUCGAGACGAAUGGCUUCCGGGUGAACAAUCCGGGAGAUUGACGGUACCGAGAGAAGAAGCCCCGGCUAACUCCGUGCCAGCAGCCGCGGUAAUACGGGGGGGGCAAGCGUUGUUCGGAAUUACUGGGCGUAAAGGGCUCGUAGGUGGCCAACUAAGUCAGACGUGAAAUCCCUCGGCUUAACCGAGGAACUGCAUCUGAUACUGGAUGGCUUGAGAUUGGGAGAGGGAUGCGGAAUUCCAGGUGUAGCGGUGAAAUGCGUAGAUAUCUGGAGGAACACCGGUGGCGAAGGCGGCAUCCUGGACCAACACUGACAC
rnacentral:rRNA from 1 species